AGUACGUAGUCUUAUUGUUCAGACGAUUUUCAACCCGAGGAACACGGAGUUUGCCGAGGUGGUCACCAGCAGCGAAGCUCCUCGGAACCAACGCCGGACAACCCGUGUGCUGGCUGCCGAGCCUGCGGGUGGUGCGCUGGGCCUCC